UACGGAGGGUGCAAGCGUUGUUCGGAAUCACUGGGCGUAAAGCGCGUGUAGGCGGCUUCGUAAGUCUGGUGUGAAAGCCCGGGGCUCACCCCCGGAAUUGCACUGGAAACUGCAAGGCGCGAGUACCGGAGAGGAGGGUGGAAUUCCUGGUGUAGCGGUGAAAUGCGUAGAUAUCAGGAGGAACAGCGGUGGCGAAGGCGGCCCUCUGGACGGAUACUGACGCUGAGACGCGAAAGCGGGGGGAGCAAACAGG
rnacentral:rRNA from 1 species